GAUGAACGCUGGCGGCGUGCCUAAUACAUGCAAGUCGAGCGAACGGACGAGAAGCUUGCUUCUCUGAUGUUAGCGGCGGACGGGUGAGUAACACGUGUAUAACCUACCUAUAAGACUGGGAUAACUUCGGGAAACCGGAGCUAAUACCGGAUAAUCUUUUGAACCGCAUGGUUCAAAAGUGAAAGACGGUCUUGCUGUCACUUAUAGAUGGAUCCGCGCUGCAUUAGCUAGUUGGUAAGGUAACGGCUUACCAAGGCAACGAUGCAUAGCCGACCUGAGAGGGUGAUCGGCCACACUGGAACUGAGACACGGUCCAGACUCCUACGGGAGGCAGCAGUAGGGAAUCUUCCGCAAUGGGCGAAAGCCUGACGGAGCAACGCCGCGUGAGUGAUGAAGGUCUUCGGAUCGUAAAACUCUGUUAUUAGGGAAGAACAGAUGUGUAAGUAACUGUGCACAUCUUGACGGUACCUAAUCAGAAAGCAACGGCUAACUACGUG
rnacentral:rRNA from 1 species